rnacentral:rRNA from 1 species
GUUUGAUCCUGGGUCAGGACGAACGCUGGCGGCAUGCCUAAUACAUGCAAGUCGAACGCCAAAUCUUCCUGCUUGCAGGAAGAGGCGGAGUGGCGAACGGGUGAGUAACACGUGAGGAACUUGCCCAUAAGAGGGGGAUAACACCCGGAAACGGGUGCUAAUACCGCAUAAGUUUUCCCAGCGCAUGCUGGGGAAAUGAAAGGUGGCUCUGCUACCGCUUAUGGAUAGCCUCGCGGCGCAUUAGCUAGUUGGUAGGGUAAAGGCCUACCAAGGCCAUGAUGCGUAGCCGACUUGAGAGGGUGAUCGGCCACACUGGAACUGAGACACGGUCCAGACUCCUACGGGAGGCAGCAGUAGGGAAUCUUCCACAAUGGGUGCAAGCCUGAUGGAGCAAUGCCGCGUGAGUGAAGAAGGACUUCGGUUCGUAAAGCCCUGUUGUUGGGGAAGAACACGGAUAGGAGUCACUGCCUAUCCCUUGACGGUACCCAACCAGAAAGUCACGGCUAACUACGUGCCAGCAGCCGCGGUAAUACGUAGGUGACAAGCGUUGUCCGGAUUUAUUGGGCGUAAAGCGAGCGCAGGCGGUCCGGUAAGUCUGAUGUGAAAGCCCACGGCUCAACCGUGGAACGGCAUUGGAAACUGGCGGACUUGAAUGUAGCAGAGGAAAGUGGAAUUCCAUGUGUAGCGGUGGAAUGCGUAGAUAUAUGGCAGGAACACCAGUGGCGAAUGCGACUUUCUGGGCUAUGAUUGACGCUGAGGCUCGAAAGCGUGGGGAGCGAACAGGAUUCGAU